GAUUUGUCUCUUCCUAUCCUUAACAAAGCUGUUCAAGCUUUCAAGUCAUUAAGAAUUAGAGUAGGAGGUACCUUACAAGACAGGUUGAUAUAUAAUAUUGGAGAAGGUUUCAAGGGCCAUUGUCAACCAUUUCAAGCAGACAACGAUUUACUGUUUGACUUUACAGAAGGAUGUUUGUACAUGGAAAGGUAGGAUGAUUUGAACAACUUUUUCAACAACAUAGGGGCUAUUGUAACCUUUGGCUUAAAUGCUCUCUUGGGUAAGUACAACACAAAAGGAAUGCAGUGGGAAGGAAAUUGGAAUUACAGCAAUGCUGAGGCUCUUAUUCAAUACACAGUGGACAAGAAUUAUCAAAUAAAUUCAUGGAAGUUUGGUAAGUUAAAUAAUACUAAAAUCUUGUUUGAGUUAAGUAACUAUGAAUGUUUAAGGGUGACAUCGA